rnacentral:misc_RNA from 1 species
GAUGAAGAACGUAGCGAAAUGCGAUAAGUAAUGUGAAUUGCAGAAUUCAGUGAAUCAUCGAAUCUUUGAACGCACAUUGCGCCCGCCAGUAUUCUGGCGGGGAUGCCUGUUCGAGCGUCAUUUCAACCAUCAAGCCCCCGGCUUGUGUUGGGGACCUGCGGCUGCCGCAGGCCCUGAAAAGCAGUGGCGGGCUCGCUGUCACACCGAGCGUAGUAGCAUACAUCUCGCUCUGGGCGUGCUGCGGGUUCCGGCCGUUAAACCACCUUCAUAACCCAAGGUUGACCUCGGAUCAGGUAGGAAGACCCGCUGAACUUAAGCAUAUCAAAAGCGGAGGA